rnacentral:rRNA from 1 species
GACAGAGGGUGCAAACGUUGCUCGGAAUCACUGGGCGUAAAGGGCGCGUAGGCGGACAAGUAAGUCGGGCGGUGAAAAUCCCUAGGCUCAACCUAGGAACUGCACUCGAAACUGCCUGUCUUGAGUACCGGAGAGGAAAGCGGAAUACCUGGUGUAAGAGGUGAAAUUCGUAGAUAUCAGGAUGGAACACCAGUGGCGAAGGCGGCUUUCUGGACGGUAACUGACGCUGAGGCGCGAAAGCGUGGGGAGCGAACAGG